GAUGAACGCUAGCUACAGGCUUAACACAUGCAAGUCGAGGGGUAACGAGAGGAAAGCUUGCUUUCCUUGUCGACGACCGGCGCACGGGUGAGUAACGCGUAUCCAACCUGCCCCCAACUAGGGAAUAACCUUGCGAAAGUAAGACUAAUACCCUAUAAUUUCCUCAGAUGUCAUCUGACGAGGAAUAAAGAUUUAUCGGUUGUGGAUGGGGAUGCGUCUGAUUAGCUUGUUGGCGGGGUAACGGCCCACCAAGGCAACGAUCAGUAGGGGUUCUGAGAGGAAGGCCACCGACAUUGGAACUGAGACACGGUCCAAACUCCUACGGGAGGCAGCAGUGAGGAAUAUUGGUCAAUGGGCGGAAGCCUGAACCAGCCAAGUAGCGUGCAGGAUGACGGCCCUAUGGGUUGUAAACUGCUUUUAUACAGGAAUAAAGUUAGCCACGUGUGGUUAUUUGUAGGUACUGUAUGAAUAAGGACCGGCUAAUUCCGUGCCAGCCGCCGCCGUAA
rnacentral:rRNA from 1 species